AUUGAACGCUGGCGGCAUGCCUUACACAUGCAAGUCGAACGGUAACGGGCCUUCGGGUGCCGACGAGUGGCGAACGGGUGAGUAAUGUAUCGGAACGUACCUUUCAGUGGGGGAUAACGUAGCGAAAGUUACGCUAAUACCGCACAUUCUGUGAGCAGGAAAGCAGGGGAUCGCAAGACCUCGCGCUGAUUGAGCGGCCGAUAUCAGAUUAGCUAGUUGGUGAGGUAAAGGCUCACCAAGGCGACGAUCUGUAGCGGGUCUGAGAGGAUGAUCCGCCACACGCGAACUGAGACACGAUCCAGACUCCUACGGGAGGCAGCAGUGGGGAAUUUUGGACAAUGGGGGCAACGCUGAUACAGCCAUGCCGCGUGAGUGAAGAAGGCCUUCGGGUUGUAAAGCUCUUUCGGCCGGGAAGAAAUCGUAUCAGCUAAUACCUGGUGCGGAUGACGGUACCGGCAUAAGAAGCACCGACUAACUACGUGCCAGCCGCCGCGGUAAAAC
rnacentral:rRNA from 1 species